UGCGCUGUAGAUUCUGUUGAACGAGUAUGAAAGCCGGUUUCGCGAGGACAAGGCCACUGGACAUUUUAUGCUCAUACGGGGAAUACAAUCUGAGAAUCUGCGUGUGUCGCCCGCACCAAUACCUGACAACAUUGUGGAAAUAGUUGCAGUUGAAACAGAGAUUGUAUGCAAGUCCUCAGCUGCUACUGCAUCUCCAAGAAAGACAGCAGGUAUAUCAUCUCGUGACGACCACAUUGAAGUCUGAAUUUGAAGUGCGAAGAUGCUUCAGCAACCACAUCGUACUUUUCCAUUGCUUUCAUUGUGCUUCUACUGUGCAUGUGUGUAACUUGUGGGGUAUACAUGUGAUGACAUUGUAUGCUGGCGACACGGUCAGAUUUUGUCCAUGCGUGUAACGUACACCUGCAUGUUAUGCAUCGAAAAGGAUCUGCCACUUGCGAUCCUGGGACAAGUAUCAGGUCAGCUUUGUCUUGUGUGGGCUGUACCAGAUUGCUGUUCACUUUUCUAUCUGUUGGAUAUGUGACUUUCUGCAAGUCUCUGGUGUAUGGUGGCCACUUC